rnacentral:rRNA from 1 species
UACGUAGGGGGCGAGCGUUGUCCGGAAUUAUUGGGCGUAAAGAGCUCGUAGGCGGUCUGUCGCGUCGGCUGUGAAAUCCCGGGGCUUAACCCCGGGCCUGCAGUGGAUACGGGCAGGCUGGAGGCAGGCAGGGGAGGACGGAAUUCCCGGUGGAGUGGUGAAAUGCGUAGAGAUCCGGAGGAACACCAAAGGCGAAGGCAGUGUCCUGGGGAGUACCUGACGCUCAGGUGCGAAAGCCAGGGGAGCGAACGGG